rnacentral:snRNA from 1 species
UAGCUUUGGCAGCACACAUACUAAAAUUGGAAUGAUACAGAGACAAGCAUGGCCCCUGCACAAAGUGACACACAAAUUCGUGAAAUGUUCCAUAUUUUU